CACACGACUCUCGGCAACGGAUAUCUCGGCUCUCGCAUCGAUGAAGAACGUAGCGAAAUGCGAUACCUGGUGUGAAUUGCAGAAUCCCGCGAACCAUCGAGUCUUUGAACGCAAGUUGCGCCCGAGGCCUCUCUGUGGCCGAGGGCACGCYUGCUUGGGCGUCACGC
rnacentral:rRNA from 1 species